UGGAAGACCUGGCUGCUUGUGAGAUGACGGGCUGGCUGAGUCCGAGCAGUCAACUACUAGGAAGAGGAACCCAUAAGCCUCUAGGUGGAUGGAGAGGCUAUCAUUUGAGCAGUCAUUCAUUACCCAGCUUAAGCCAAUACAUGUUACACUCCAAACAGACCGGGCAAGUGAUUGUCUCUCUGUAGAUAUUGUAUAGGGUUCGGUGCUCGUUCAGUUGCACAUGUUAUACCUUGGAUUGUACAAGUCGUCAUCGGUCAGUCGAUUGAUUACGUGGAUGCUUGUUUCUAGUCUGAAUGAUUAUGUAUCAUCUUACACGCCUGUUCCGAGUUUUUUUUUGCCCGAAUCUUAUUCAAUUCACGGAUAAGAUCUUACACAAUUUGUUUCUUGUUCUGCAUCAUAUUCCAAAUUGGUCUGUACUGCUUUUGUAGGAGAAGACAUGAAGAUGCAGUACUACUAUGGAAAUGUCUAACUGUUUGCCAAUAAGAUUGUAGUUCUCAUAUGAUUCUCUUGCUGGUACUGGGUGAUCCUUCAUAUUGUAGUUGUAUGUGUUCUCUGGUUUAUAAAGGUCAUAGUGAUUAUUUUGGUGAAGUCCCCCUUGUUAGUUUAUUUCUCCAGGUUACAUCCUCAACAAAGAUUUGUGCAAUGGUGGACAUUUAGCUUGUGGUACAUGCCUUGCCGAGCUCCCCGAUGGAUAGUGCCUGACUUGAAAGCACGACGAAGGCUUUGUCCAUGGUCUUGCAAUGGACGGUAUUGUCUGGUUGGCAAUUAUAAAGUGCUCCCACAAUGGCUGCCAGAGGGACGUUGGCUUCUACACUUCUAUAGCAACAUGAUUAGUUUUAUGUGUGGAUUCUACCUGUAGCAAGUUAUUAUGCUAUGAUGUUGUCUUGCUUGUAAAGAUUGGA